GACCCAUCAACAACAUACAUGACAAACGACAUCAAUACCAGAAUAUUAUUUUGUAUACACAUAUGCAUCCUCACAAAGAUACCGUAGGAUCUAAUGAUGUCCAGGAAGCUUCUCUUUGAUCUUCUCCAUCACCCCUUUCUUCUCAUGGGUUUCUCCUCCUUCCCCAUAACCACCACCACCAAUGCCGCCAGAUGUUGUUGUUGACACCCCUUGAUGCUCGUCCGUGUUGUCACCACCGGGAAGCUUUUCUUUGAUCUUCUCCAUCACCCCUUUCUUCUCGUAGGUUUCCCCUCUUUCCCCAUAACCACCACCACCAACGCCUCUUGUCGUUGUUGAGGACACUGUUUGAUGCUCAGAGAUGUUACCACCAGGAAGCUUAUCUUUAAUCUUCUCCAUAACCCCUUUCUUCUCGUGGGUUUCCCCUCCUUCCACAUAACCGCCAUCAAUGCUACUCACCGUUGUUGUGGGCACCCUUUGAUGCUCGUCCGUAUUGUGAUCACCGGGAAGCCUUUCUUUGAUCUUCUCCAUCAUGCCUUUGUUCUCGUGGGUUUCCCCUCCUUCCCCAUAUGUAUUACCACCACCACCAACGCCGUAUAUCGUUGAUGUGGACACUCUUUGAUGCUCGUCGGUACUGUAACCACCAGGAAGCUUUUCUUUGAUCUUCUCUGUCACCCCUUUCUGCUCAUGGGUUUCCCCUCCUUCCAAAUAAUUGUCACCAACGCCGCCUGUCGUUGCGGACACCCUUUGAUGCUCAUCAUUGUUGUGACCACCGGGAAGCUUUUCUUUGAUCUUCUCCAUCAGCCCUUUCUUUUCGUGGGUUUCCCCUCCUUCCCCAUAACCACCGCCACUAACGCCGCCUGUCGUUGAGGACACCCUUUGAUGCUCCUCCGUGCUGUGACCACCGGGAAACUUUUCUUUGAUCUUCUCUAUCACCCCUUUCUUUUCUUGGCCUUCUUCUCUAUGUUGAUCGUAGCCUGUCCCAGUUUCGGUGCCAAUGCCCAUUCCCAUACCCGUAAAAGGGGUGCUAGAGUGAAGUGGGUUUCCGUACUCAUCUGUUUGCCGACCUUCUCUUCCGUCUUUAUGAUCUCCUCCGAAAUGUGCCAUAUUUCUUUUCACUCGAUAAGUUAUAGAAGAAGCUUGAAAACGUGGAAUUGAACACUUGUUUCGUUUGUGAUUUUCUUGUGUUUUAUAUUAUGACAUUUGGGGGGCUUUAUAUAGAGUAAAGUGAGACGAUGAAAAGCUGAUAUACGCGGUGAAAUGAAGAUGCAUGGUAUACGAGAGAACCACAUGUUGUCAGCAUUAUACUAAACCCACUUAAAAAGCUGUUCCAUCAGAAGAUGGACACGUCUUUUUUAAUAAAUUCAGAAAACGGAAGGAUUUUAAACCUACAUAUAUUAUAUUAUAUAUUAUAUAUUAUAUUAUAAGAUUAUAGAUUACAGAUAAGUCAUAAGGGUCAACUUGUGAAGUCAGGCCAUGUCGACAAGAUUUGGUUCGUCGACAUAUUUCGUGUCGGUAAGUCUUGUUUAUUAUACUGGUUAUAGUUAUUUCCCUGGCCACCACACCAAAAAUAAAAUAUUGUGAUAUUAGCCUCAAAUCAUACCGCUUCAUCACUAAUAAAAAUACUCGAUCAUUCCACCAUUCUUAUUUUUUUUAUUUAAUAAAACCAAUAUUAAAUAAAAAAUACAUCCUUGAAUAAAUAUUUUAAAGGUUACAUUAAAUAAACAUAUGAAGUGUAACUUCUUUUAUUACUUUCCUCCUUCCCCUGACUUUCUUCUUAAUGAUGCCUUCUUAUUUCCUAUAAUUUUUUUGUAAAAUUGAAUGUAGUAUACAAGCUUUUCCUCGGUUAUCUAUUGAUGUUUUUUCAUGAACAAAAUAGAAGGGGGUGUCGAAGUAAAUUAGAAAUACUGUUUUUCAGAACUAUAUAGCACGUACACGAGGAAACACUUUUACCAAACUUGAAAACGCCGAACUAGAUGAAUAUAAUUUACCUUUUCGUGUAACAUUUAGAAACUAUCAAUCUAUUAUAUCGAUCUUGGAUUUCAUCUAGAAGACGUGUAUGAAUUAUUUAUUUACCAAACUACAGAAUUCACGGGUCCCUAAAUAAGCGUAUAAUUUGGUGAAAUUAAAUGUAAUUCAUGUAUAGUGAAUUUGUUAAAAAUAUGAAUAAAAAAUAAGACGUUUGAACCUUGGAAAACUAAAAAAAAAAAAAAAAACAAUUUUGUUUGUUGGAAGUCCUUGUGAUAUGUGUAGAAACUUUCAAAGGGUUUCCAGCACUUAGAAAAAACUAUAACUUACCGAACGGAAAUGUGUAGGAUAGAAACUUUCAAAGGGUUUCCAGCACGUAGAAAAAACUAUAACUUACCGAACGGAAAUGUGUAGGAACUGUUAGAAAAUUAGAGAAAUCAGAAUAAUAAUAUAUAUUACUUGAAUAGAUUCAUGUAUGGAGUUUUGUACACUUUCCUAAAUUUGUAAUUCGUCCUUUUUAUAUGGGGUACAUGAAUUCAAAAGUGAAAUAAUUCAAGAAUAAACCAAUUCAAAUUACAUUCCUAAUUCGAACAGAGAAACACCUAAUAUCUUUGCUUGACGUGUUCUUGAGAGAUAGAUCAAAACUUAAUGAACAAAUUUUCGCGUGUAUCUUUGUAACCCUUUUUUUUUGCAACAUAAAAAAUGUUCUUCUUAUAUAAGAGGGAAAAGUAGUUAAUAGUGGUUACAUGCAAAUUUGGCACCAAAACAUGUAGUUAGUGGACAUAACUAACACAUGCAUCAUCAUGAUGUCAUCAAGUGAGUUUUAACGGGAACCACUGCCAACGGCUCUACCUCUUGAACCCGGUACCUGGGGGAGUUGCCCUUGAACCCUGUAUCCCGAACUCAUUUUAAUCACUCCGAGUGUGCAUCAUACACCUCUAAUCGUAGUGAGUGAAAUAGAAUUCAACUUAUCUCAAUAGUAAUAACAACUAAACUAAAACAUGUUGAUAACACCCCCCCUCCUUUAGCGUAAUCCUUAAUUAACUAAAAACAAACACAAAUACAAACUCAUGCAUAUAUGAAAAUAUCAUGAAGAUUGAAUAUUCACAUUAGUACAAUACAUAUUUCAAGUACUCGAGAAUCAGGGUGUCUUAAGAUGUAAUACUUGUCUUCUAGGAGGAAUCGAAUUAGGGUUUUGAGGAGUCAAAAGGUUGAAUUUUCGAAGAAAAGAAACCUCAGGAUGUGAGAUUGGAGGUUCUCUGGGUGAGUGGGCUAAGAUGAAUUGUUAUGUGAGACUGGUCUCACGACGUAAGACAUAGAGUGCUCAUGACGUGAGCAUUACUACAGCCCAAGCCCAUAAUCUUUUAGAGUUUCCUUCAUAUUUAAGCAUAUUUAAACUCAUUUUGGGAUUUCUUAUUAGACGCAAAUCCUAUUUGUAACACCCGAAUCUUGGAGGUACUUAUUUAUUGAAUUAAAACUUUUGGAUGAGGGUCACGACGUGAGACAUGGUGGUCAUGUCAUGAGUGACCAUUAACUAGUUGACUCGUGUUUUUGAGCCUCACGACGUGAGACUUUAAAUACUUACAAUGUGAGAAUGGGAUGAUUACCAAAACACUAAUAUUUCGAAUAUUUAAUGGAAUGAGAGGGCUAGGGUUCCCAUCCUUAGCAUCCCUCACUAUUUUGCCUCUUGGAACCCUAAUCUCGAACCACUUAAACUCCUAAGCCAUUUUUGUGAUCUUUGAAGCGUGCUUUGGUGGUUUUUGACUCCUUGAAGGGGAAGAGGAUCUUGGUGGAUCAACCUAUUGGCAUUCUAGCUUCUACCCUACCUUCUUAUUAGGCUUUUGGACCAUUGUAAGUCAUAAAGCUCAGACCCUUUUACCUCUUGCAUGGUAGAUUUAAGUUUUAAGCUCCUUUUUGCAUGAUUAUGAUGGAUUGCAUGCAUGUGAUCCAUAAAGCUGGCAAACUUAUGGAUCAUUGAGUCAUUCUCUAAGAUAUAGUCUUUGGAUCUGAGUUUUGGUAUAGUUUGAGACUCCAAGCACGAGUUUAGAUCUCAUUUUCCCUCUUUUAAUCUACUGAGAGUUUGAUUCAUGCAUUGGAGAUGCAUUGUAACAUCCUGACAUAAGGUACAAUUAUUAUUCAUGAAUGGUUCCUUUUAAGUUAAAAUCAGUCCCUUUGUAUGAUAAGUUGGAAAGUCAGUACGUGGGGCGUACGCAUGAGUACGUGCAGCGUACUCACGCACCAUGCAGAUCUUGGAGGCCACCUAGUACGCUGGGUGUACCAGGCUCAGAUGUAAAACCCUAAUAUCUAAUUGAUUGAUAUAUAAAGAACAUUAUGGACUCAUUUCUAGCCACCCUUACCAUCCUCCAACCCUCUCUAAAAGCCUAAUUUUGUGUGUGUAGCUUGAGUGUGUGUUUUUUCAAGUUUGAGUUGUUCUUGACCCUUGAGGAAGAAGAAGAAGAAGAAGAAGAAGAAGAAGAAGAAUAAGAAGAAGGUUAUCAAAGAAUAAGAAGAUGAAGAAGAAGAAGAAGAAGAAGAAGAAGAAGAAGAAGAAGAAGAAGAAGAAGAAGAAGAAGAAGAAUAAGGUGUCAUCCAGCUUAGAGAUCCAAAAACUCCCCACCUUUGUGCAUCAUAUAGAUGUAUAAAGCUUGUACCUUGGCUAGUAUUCUCUUAGAUCUCUUUUAGUGUAAUAUUUAUGAGUUUAAUUCCUUAAGUUUAGACGUUUAUGAAUUUGUUACUCUCCAAAGAGUUUAGGUUGUCCUUUCAUGCAUUUUAGGGCAUCUAGAUGGAUAAAAUGAUUGCUUGAUCUUCCAUUGUGUCCCAUGCAUGAGUAAAGUAGUUUGAAAGAGUUGAAAUGAUUUUUUAGCCUAACAUAGCCAUGCAAAGGCUUAAAGCCCAUGACUUUAUUGAAUAAGAAGCUUAAAGUUAGUCAGAUCUGAAAUUGGGAUGAAUGUCUUAAUGGAUUAAGAAGUUUGGUAAAGGAUCUGGAAUUCUCUGGAGUACGUCAUGUGUACUCUUGGCUAAGUGCAGCGAAGCCUAGCUGCUCCCUGUCGCAUACUUGCUCAGCUGUACGCCUAGCUUUAGGAGUAGUACGCCCAGCGUACUCGUUGGGUGUUAAAUUUCUAUUGACCUUUGCUGACUUUGACUUUUGGUCAAAGUUUAGGGUUUUGGACCUAAGGAGGGGCAAAAUGGUCCUUUUUUCCCUUAGUGGGUUUAACUGUGGACUUUGGACUCAUGAGUGAUUUGGACCUUAAAUUUAAUUAAGGUUAAUUAUCUUGUUAACUAGGCGGAGUCUAGAUCCGACAGUUCGGGUGCUAGGUUUUUGUGUCGUCAGUAUCAGGUGAAUCUCCUCACUUACUCUUACGUGUGUGGUAGGAUAACUAUAAUGUUAUGAACAGCUGGGUCUAGCUGUUAUGUGAUGCUAUAUUAUGUGCGGAUUUCAUAUAUGAGGUUGCUACUAGCCAACCGAGGGUUGGGGAUAACUUCCCGAGCAUGUUGUUUGCUCAUCCGGAUUGCUGAUAGUCUCAGGGUUGUUGAUAACCCAUAGGUGUUUAUUUUAUGUUGUGUUGUAUGCGGUAUCUUGAGGAACUCACUAAACUUCAUGCUUACAGUUGUUGAUUUGUAUGUGACAGGUACUUUGUAGGGCCGCAGGAAGGCAAAGGUUUAAUUGUACACACACACUAGGAAUUUAUUAUAGGGACAUGAUCUUUUGUAAUCUAAUAACUAUAAGACUUGUGUUUUGAAAUGAUUUGCAUUUGAUCUGGUUGUAAAACUCUGUUUUGGAAUUUUAAAAAAAUUGGAAAAUUUUGGUCUAAAAUUUAAGGUGUUACAGUUUGGUAUCAGAGCCCUGGUUUGAGGGAUUUGGAUGAACCUUUGGGUGAAUCCAAACUCAAAUUGAAGGUUUAAACAUUUUUAAGAACUUAACAAGAAAUGAAUACUUUUUACAAUAGGGAAAUCCAAAGAAGUAGUGUCUAAAAUCGACCAACACUCGAGCAGUAGUUGCCCAAAAUACCUUAUUGUUAUUUUUAGUAUUGUAGAGCAGAAAUGUGGUAUUAUGAGAAAUUAGGAUUGCAUGCUAGCUAGGUGUAGGCUAAGGAAUCUUGCUGAACCAGUUUGAAGGUUGCCUUAUUAAUGAUGCCUUAGCCUAGGAAUUCAUUCCUUAUGAGAUCGAAUCAGCCUUAAUUAUUUGUUUGGCGUAUGCUUUAUAGUUGUACAUAGUUAGGCUUUUAUAGCCUUAGAAUGACUGAUUUGGCCUUUCUUCGUGUUCCUUGUUUGGUUGUGGAUUUAAGGUAGGAUAAUUUAUUCGAAUGUCGAUUGAGUCUUGUACUAUGUACAAUUGGCAUAUGCGAGUCAAAUGGUGAGGGCAACAGAGAUUCCAUGAGGUAGAGAAUUGAUAGGAGCGAUCUAGAACUAGUAUCUUGACAUAUGAUGAGGUUCUCCAGAACCAGUAAGGCGAGUCCAUAGCUGUUAUGCAGAGGUACAUUUGUUGGGAGCUCAAGGGUGCGACCCGAGACGACUAUGGAUUGGUGUGGAAGGUAGGAUUGGCCUCGUACUACUGAAUGCACCAGAUCCUUACGUGACUCGGAAAAUAACCUCGAGGGACUAGAGAGCAUGUAUGGGUGUGAGAGUCGAUAUAUAUAUAUAUAUAUAUGUGUGUGUGUGUGUGUGUGUGCAUGCAUGUAUGUGUGUAUUUAGCUUGUGCUGAUGAUUUUCUUAUGCAUUUCAGUAUGCUGGUUACCCAAGGUUCAAGCUCCAGCGACCCUGAGAGGCCGAGUAGCAGUGAUGGUGAGAUUCCUGGGAUGAUUGUCGUGGAGGUGGCCGCUGCAAUUCGAGAGGCUAUUCUAGAGAGGUUUGGGUCUAUCAAGACUGUGCAGAUUAAGACCUUUAACGAGCAUUAUGCCGCUUUCUCUGAGGUUGCUGCUACCACAGUCACCAUAACUCUUGAUGUUGCAAGACCACAGGGGGGUGAUUUGUUGUGGUACAGGGAGUUUACCAACACGAAGCCACCCGAGUUUGAUGGGAACCAGGAUCCGAUUGCCUCUAUUAGAUGGAUCUAUGAUGUCGAGGGAUACUUCUAUACCUGCUCAUGUCCGGAGAAAUUUACAAGUUCAGUUCGCUUUGAACGUGCUUUGCUUGGGAGCGAAGGACUGGUGGAAGUUUGUGACUGUUGACUACACGCCUGCAGAGCAUGUUGCAGUGACUUGGGAGAGGUUUAUUGCAAUGUUUAGGGAUGAGUUUAUGCCCGCAGUUGAGGGGGAAAUUUUAUCCUAGGAGUUCCUAUCUCUCAAGUAAAGACAAAGACGGUGACUGAGAUCACCAGGAUGUUCCAUGAGAGCGAUUUGUUUUGCCGUGAGCAGGCCCGUGUGGCCCGGUAUCUAGGUGUUCUCAGGAGGGAUAUCAAAGA
rnacentral:lncRNA from 1 species